rnacentral:misc_RNA from 1 species
UCCGGUUUGUCACCGGCAGUCUCGCAUGAGUCCCCGGCCGAACCGCUGGCAACAUACGACGAGGGUUGCGCUCGUUGCGGGACUUAACCCAACAUCUCACGACACGAGCUGACGACAGCCAUGCACCACCUGUGACGGUGCCCCGAAGAAAAGCCGUGUUUCCACGGCGGUCACCGACAUGUCAAGCCCAGGUAAGGUUCUUCACGUUGCGUCGAAUUAAACCACAUGCUCCGCUGCUUGUGCGGGUCCCCGUCAAUUCCUUUGAGUUUUAGCCUUGCGGCCGUACUCCCCAGGCGGGACACUUAAUGCGUUAACUUCGGCACGGAAGGAGUCGACACCUCCCACACCUAGUGUCCAUCGUUUACGGCGUGGACUAC